rnacentral:lncRNA from 1 species
UUUUCUCUCUUUCUUGCUCAAAUGCUUAAUUAGUCGUCACUUAAGCUGAGGACUGUCAACAAAACGUCGUCAGUAUGCCGCGGACUUAAAAUGCAAAUGACAAAAAAUUGAACUAUCGGCUAAGGACUUGAAGUGAGUCAGGCUGCUUCCAACUUUCUACGCAAAAUACAAAAUGGCCAAAUCGAAGAUUAGUUUAAACCAUAUAUUUCUCUUUCGUUUCUAAUAAAUCUAACUUAUUGUCAAUUAAACUAAUAUUUCUUAACAUAAUUUAUUUUCUAUUGAUUUGUGAUAAUUUAAUACAAAUAUCUCAAUAAUAUUUUGGUCAAUUUUGAUAAAAGCAACAGGAUAACGAAAUUGGUAAAAAAUGAAUGAAUAUAAAAUCAAACAACAAUAAGCUAAAAAUAUAUAUGAGAAAGUAAACACAUUUCAAAGUAAAAUAAGAUUCUCGGAAUUCCGCUCAUCACUUUCCUCCUGCUUUUUUAAGGUAGCUGCUAUUUUUUGUUUGAAGGAAAAUAACUGCUUAAAUUUUAUUAAUGAAUCAAUGAGCACAUAUAUGACAAAGCAUCACUAAGCAAUUCCGGAGGGACGUAUGAGCCUCUAACAAGUACACGAGCAACUCCGUCGAACAUGGCUGACUACAAAGCGAGGGUUGCGGGGGAGGACCGCACGGCAUUUCAAGAUCAUCACUCAAACUCGGUGAAAUCGCUUUGUCCCGAACAAAUAAUAGUGACGACUGCCAAUACAUCAGACUCGAAGACAAUAUUUGUCCAACUUUUUUAAUUCGAACUUAUUAUUUCUUAAUUGUGGGCUCUCUAUUUUUUAUCAUUUCAUUUAACAGCGACUAUAUUUACUCACAUGUGGAUUCUUUAUUUGCCAUAAAAUUUCCAAAUUUAACAUGAUGGAUUUUAUUUGACGAGAUAAGUUGGAAGUAAUUUAUGGCUAACCUUUCGCAAAUUUAGAGAAAGUUGAGUUGUCAAUUUGCUAAUGCUCACAUAUCAUGUGCCUAGUGAGUGACCUUUGGGUUUGGGGCAAUUCGGCAAUUCAUCAUGAAUCCACUGUAAUGGCAGAAUUGUGAAUCUUGACUUUAGCAAGGGUACUUAGAACAAGAAUUAGCUAGCUUCUAAACCGCCAUUUUUCCCUCUCUCUAGCCUCAUUCCCUUUGCUUCUUUCUUCCACUGCGAAAAGGGGGGAAAGGCUUCAAAGAAGCUUUAGUGAGCGAGAGAGGAGGGAGAAACGGGGGAGACAAUACUAGUGCCAAUCAGAAAAAUACACACCGGCACGUUAUAGGUGCCGGUGGCAGGUCGUCUGAGAAUAGAAAAGAAAAGGCGCAAACCGGAUGCCAAUCAAUGAAGCCGAGACGCAAAGGGCCGCCAACAGGUCACGGCGCGAUUCAAGGCAGCCGGCAGUGGCGAUGGCGAAGCGAGUCCCGUUACGGCUGUUGCUGCAAGUAACGUCGAUCGCUGGCGGGAUUCAAUUCGGAUGGGCUCUUCAGCUCUCUCUCUUAACUCCCUACGUGCAGGAGCUGGGAAUCCCGCACGCUUGGGCCAGUGUGAUUUGGCUGUGCGGGCCACUGUCUGGUUUGAUAGUUNNN